rnacentral:rRNA from 1 species
AGUGGGUGUAGCGUACCUACUAGCCUACGACGGGUACGGGUUGUGAGAGCAAGAGCCCGGAGAUGGAUUCUGAGACACGAAUCCAGGCCCUACGGGGUGCAGCAGGCGCGAAAACUUUACAAUGCUGGCAAUAGCGAUAAGGGAACCUCGAGUGCCAGGUUACAAAUCUGGCUGUCGAGAUGCCUAAAAAGCAUUUCAUAGCAAGGGCCGGGCAAGACCGGUGCCAGCCGCCGCGGUAACACCGGCGGCUCGAGUGGUAACCGUUAUUAUUGGGUCUAAAGGGUCUGUAGCCGGCCGGAUAAGUCUCUUGAGAAAUCUGGCAGCUUAACUGUCAGGCUUUCAGGAGAUACUGUCUGGCUCGAGGCCGGGAGAGGUGAGAGGUACUUCAGGGGUAGGGGUGAAAUCUUGUAAUCCUUGAAGGGCCACCAGUGGCGAAGGCGUCUCACCAGAACGGACCUGACGGCAAGGGACGAAAGCUAGGGGCACGAACCGGAUUAGAU